rnacentral:rRNA from 1 species
AAUAUUGGACAAUGGGCGAAAGCGUGAUCCAGCCAUGCCGCGUGUGUGAAGAAGGUCUUCGGAUUGUAAAGCACUUCAAGUUAGGAGGAAGGGCAGUAAGCUACUACGUAGCUAUCUUGACGUUACCGACAGAAUAAGCACCGGCUAACUUCGUGCCAGACUCCGCGGUAAUACGAAGGGUGCAAGCGUUAAUCGGAAUUACUGGGCGUAAAGCGCGCGUAGGUGGUUUGUUAAGUUGGAAGUGAAAGCACCGGGCUCAACCUGGGAACUGCUUUCAAAACUGGCAAGCUAGAGUAUGGCAGAGGGUGGCGGAAUUUCCUGUGUAGCGGUGAAAUGCGUAGAUAUAGGAAGGAACACCAGUGGCGAAGGCGACCACCUGGGCUAAUACUGACACUGAGGUGCGAAAGCGUGGGGAGCAAACA